rnacentral:rRNA from 1 species
GUGAGGAAUAUUGCGCAAUGAGGCAACUCUGACGCAGCCAUGCCGCGUGCAGGAAGAAGGCGCUACGCGUUGUAAACUGCUUUUAACCGGGAAGAAACCCCAGGACGUGUCCUGGGUUGACGGUACCGGAGGAAUAAGCACCGGCUAACUUCGUGCCAGCAGCCGCGGUAAUACGAAGGGUGCAAGCGUUAUCCGGAUUCAUUGGGUUUAAAGGGUGCGUAGGCGGAGCGUUAAGUCAGUGGUGAAAUCCUGCAGCUUAACUGUAGACUUGCCAUUGAUACUGGCGCUCUUGAGUGCGCUUGAAGUGGGCGGAAUGUGCCGUGUAGCGGUGAAAUGCUUAGAUAUGGCACAGAACACCAAUUGCGAAGGCAGCUCACUAAGGCGAUACUGACGCUGAGGCACGAAAGCGUGGGGAUCGAACAGGAUUAGAUACCCUGGUAGUCC